rnacentral:rRNA from 1 species
CCUACGGGUGGCAGCAGUGGGGAAUAUUGCACAAUGGGGGAAACCCUGAUGCAGCGACGCCGCGUGAGUGAAGAAGUAAUUCGUUAUGUAAAGCUCUAUCAGCAGGGAAGAAAAUGACGGUACCUGAGUAAGAACCCCCGGCUAACGACGUGCCAGCAGCCGCGGUAAUACGGAGGGCGCAAGCGUUAUCCGGAUUUAAUGGGUGUAAAGGGAGCGUAGACGGGAGUGCAAGUCUGGAGUGAAAGGCGGGGGCUCAACCCCCGGACUGCGCUGGAAACUGUACGGCUGGAGUGCAGGAGAGGAAAGUGGAAUGCGUGGUGUAGCGGUGAAAUGCGUAGAUAUUAGGAAGAACACCAGUGGCGAAGGCGGCUUACUGGAGUGUAACUGACGUUGAGGCUCGAAAGCGUGGGGAGCGAACGGGAUUAGAUACCCCAGUAGUC